GACGAACGCUGGCGGCGUGCUUAACACAUGCAAGUCGAACGAAGUGGCGAACGGGUGAGUAACGCGUAAUCAACCUGCCCUUCAGAGGGGGACAACAGUUGGAAACGACUGCUAAUACCGCAUACUGAAGGAGGGGAUUGCGUCUGAUUAGCUAGUUGGAGGGGUAACGGCCCACCAAGGCGAUGAUCAGUAGGCCGGCUGAGAGGGUGAACGGGCACAAUGGGACUGGGAAAACGCCCAGGAUCCCACGGGAGGCAACCGGGGGGAAUCUUCCGGAAUUGAAGAAAGGCUGACCGGGCAACGGCGGGGUAGUGAUGACGGGCUUCGGGUUGUAAAGCUCUGUUAAUCGGGACGCGGUACCGGAAUAGAAAGCCACGGCUAACUACGUGCCAGCAGCCGCGGUAAUAC
rnacentral:rRNA from 1 species